rnacentral:rRNA from 1 species
CAUGCAUGUCUAAGUAUAAACUGCUUAUACUGUGAAACUGCGAAUGGCUCAUUAAAUCAGUUAUAGUUUAUUUGAUGGUACACUACUACUCGGAUAACCGUAGUAAUUCUAGGGCUAAUACGUGCGUAAAUCCCGAUUCUGGAAGGGACGUAUUUAUUAGAUAAUAAGCCGACCGGACUCUGUCCGACCCGCGGUGAACCAUGAUAACUUCACGAAUCGCAUGGCCUUGCGCCGGCGAUGUUUCAUUCAAAUUUCUGCCUAUCAACUUUCGAUGGUAGGAUAGAGGCUACCAUGGUGGUAACGGGUGACGGAGGAUUAGGGUUCGAUUCCGGAGAGGGAGCCUGAGAAACGGCUACCACAUCCAAGGAAGGCAGCAGGGCGCGCAAAUUACCCAAUCCCAGAUACGGGGAGGUAGUGACAAUAAAUAACAAUUACCGGGCACUUUUUCAAGUCUGGUAAUUGGAAUGAGUACAAUCUGCAAAUCCUUAACGAGGAUGCAAUUGGAGGCAAGUCUGGGUGCCAGCAGCCGCGGUUAAUUCCCAGCUCCAAUAGACGUAUAUUUAAGUUUUUGCUGCAGUUAAAAGCUCGUAAGUUGGAUUUCGGGACGUGGUGACUGCGGUCCGCCUCUUGGGUGUGCACCGGUUGCGCCGUCCUGCUGCCGGGGACGGGUACCUGGGCUUCACUGUCGGGUCGGAGUCCGGUGAGGUUACUUUGAGUAAUUAGAGUGUUCAAAGCAGGCCUACGCUCUGAAUACAUUAGCAUGGAAUAACACGAUAGGACUCUGCCUAUCCCGUUGGUCUUGGGACCGGAGUAAUGAUUAAGAGGGACAGUCGGGGCAUUCGUAUUUCAUUGUCAGAGGUGAAAUUCUUGGAUUUAUGAAGACGAACUUCUGCGAAAGCAUCUGCCAAGGGAUGUUUUCAUUAAUCAAGAACGAAAGUUAGGAGUCGAAGACGAUUAGAUACCGUCGUAGUGCUCAACCGAUAAACGAUGCGACUAGGGAUUGGCGGAUGUUUUAUUCAAUGACUCCGCCAGCACCUUAUGAGAAAUCAAAGUUUUUGGGUUCCGGGGGGAGUAUGGUCGCAAGGCUGAA